UGGGCCCCCAGUCUGUUGUGGGCAUGCACAGACAAGGCCUGGAGCAGUUUCCCUAAUCUGCAUAAAAGCAUGUGAUGUAAACACCUGUGGAGCAGGUUGGAGAUCCUCUGGGGAUCCUCCCUUAUCUGCCUCCUGCAUCUAUCAGAAUGGCUGAGGUUUACCACCCUUGGAGUUUUCCAGGCAGAUAUUGAAGGAAGGAGACAGAUGCAUGAAAAUUAAGAGUUUUUACAAGGUCUCGCUCUGCCAUCCAGGCUGGAGUGCAGUGGUGCGAUCACAGCUCACUGUAGCCUCGACUUCCAGGGUUGGCCUCCCACCUCAGUCUCCAGAGUAUCUGCUGCUACAGGCAUGCACCACCACACCUGGCUAAUUUUUUGUAUGUAUCUGUGCCUGAAGUCAGCAAGUGCUAACAGCAAGGAAGGGGAGAUAGAUAAGAAGUCUGGAGAACAAAGACAAACUGAGGACCAUGAAGAUGAGCUGGAACCCACAAGAACGUGCUGGAGCCUGCUUCUGUCUUUCAUUGGCACCUGCAUCUGAGUCUCACUGCCUCUUGGCCUCCAACGUUGAAGAAAUUGGUGACACUGCCAUGGAGCUGUAUAUGAAAUGGCUCAAAUCUGGAGAAACUGAAGAAGUAUCCAGUGGGAGCUGCAGGAGCUGUUGAUCCAUGCCAAGGAGAUGAACAAACUAAGGCGCGGGGAAGUGCAAUGACCUGCCCAAGGACACGCUGUUAGAGACAGCAGAACCAUGAGUUGGACAUCAGUGGUAUAGUGAGUUGAAUGGUGACUGGAGGCCCACAUCCUAGCCCCUGGAACCUGUGACUGUGAUCUUACUCGGAAAAACAGUCUUUCUGAGGUAAAUUAAGGAUCGUGAGAGGUAUCAUCUAGAUUAUCUGGGUGGGCUCUGAUUUCAAUGAUAAGUGUACUUUCAAGAGACAAAAGAAAGAAGAGUCAGAGAGGAGGAGGAGGAAGCAAUGUGACCUUGGAGGCAGAGAAUGGAAAGAUACAGCCACAAGCCUAAGAAUGCCUGAAGUUACCAGAAACAAGAAGAGGCAAGGAAGGAAUCUCCUCUAAAGCCUCCAGAGCAAGCAUGGCCCUGCUAACACUUUGAUUUUGACUUUUGGUCUCCAGGACUAUGAGAGAAUAUGUUUCUGUUGUAAGUCACUCAGUUUGUGGUCAUUUGCUGGGGCAACACUAGGAAAAUCUAUAGGUGGCCCAGCUCCAUAACCUGUGUUCUCAAUCCUGAAGCUAUACUGUCUCUCAAAGGAGCAGAUAAUCCUUAACGUUUGAAAUUCAUGCUACCCUUUCCCAGGAUGUUUGCUUCACCAUCCUCCAAAGCUACUAUUUCAAACAUUCUCUCUCUUAAAAUUAGUACAUCUUUUUUCUCUUCUCCUUAGUCUUAUUUGAUGAAAUUGCUCCAUAUUUUAUUUAUAAACAAACCCCUUUGAUUGUUCAAUUUCCAAACUUACCAAAUUGGCUCUCCACAUUUUUGAAUUUUUUCUUCUUAUGUAGUUGAAGUAUUCUCUGCUUCUAUCCAAAGAAACACUUACACAGCUCUAUAUCUUCUUAUUUGCUGUCUCAAAUUAUUUACUCUGGUAUUCAUUAUCUAUUGCUGUGUAACAAAUUACCCCAGAACUUAGCAUCUUGAAAUAACAGAUAUUUAUUAGCAAAGUUUUUGUGCAUCAGAUAUCUGGAAAUGUCCCACCUGUGUCCCCUGCUUCAGAGUCUUUCACAAAGCUGCAAUCAAGGUGUCAGCCAGCAUUGGAGUCUCAUCUGAAGACUCAACUGGGGAAGUAUAUGUUUCUAAUUUCACUUAUGUGGCUGUUGACACAAAUCAGUUUUUAUACUUGUGUUGACUGUGAGACUCAGUUAUUUGCUGGCUGUUAUACAGAACCCAUCAUCAGAUGCUUGCCACAUGGGACUUCCCAAUAUGGCAGCUUGUUUUAUCAAAGCUGAAGAGAGUCUGAAAGCAAGACAGUAGUCAUAGUCUUAUGUAACCUAAUCAUGUGAGUGACAGCCUAUAAUCUCUACCACAUUCCAUUAGAAGCAAUUUGCUAGGCUAGCCAACACUCGGGGAAAGGGAUGAAUACUCAAGGACUAUGGAUCACUGGGGCCAUAUUAGAAUCCACCUGUGACAAUUCUCCAAUGCCUUCUUUCUCCUACAUAAUCACAUUCUCCAUCUCUAAUAGAACACACUAGUCAGUAUACAAACAUGCUUUAGAUUAUCUCAUUUUACAAAAAUCCUGUGACUCCAUUCUUUCAGCUAGUACCCACUUUUUUAUUUUUUAUUUUUAUUUUUAUUUUCAGACAGUUUUGCUCUUGUUGCCCAGGCUGGAGUGCAAAGGUGUGAUCUCGGCUCACUGCAACCUCUGCCUCCUAGGUUCAAGUGAUUCUCCUGCCUCAGCCUCCCGAGUAGCUGGGAUUACAGGCGCCUGCCACCACACCCAGCUAAUUUUUGUAUUUUUAGUAGAGAUGGGGUUUCAUCAUGUUGGUCAGGCUAGUCUAGAACUCCUGACCUUCCUGACCUCAGGUGAUCCACCUGCCUCGGCCUCCCAAAGUGCUGGGAUUACAGGCGUGAGCCACUGCACCCAGCCUUAUUAUUUUUUAAUUUUGUGGUUAUCACUUUAUGUAUCUUGUUUAUGAAAUUUUAUCCUCUUCUGGUAAUAAAAAAAAGUUCUUCUAUGCUGUUUUUCUAAGACUUUGUUGUUUUUUGUUUUAUACAUAGAUAUGCAUACCUUUCAUUUAGAACACUUUCAUACUUAAAAUUUUGUGUAUGGUAUAAAGCAGAGAUUAUUAUAUUUUUUAAUAUUGUUAUCAAAUUGACCCAGAGUGAUCUAAUUUUUUAAAAAGUAUCCACUCACAUUGUACUGUAGACUAAACUUUGUCAUUAACAUGUGAUUCAGUGUAGGUUAAUUAGAUUCCUGUAUAUUGUGUAGUCUAAAUAAAACUGUGAAAAACAAUUAACCUUAUAAGACUGAUUUUACAUCUUCAUGGAAGGUUAUAUUUUCCCACAAUCUUGAAAUGUGAAAUUAAGUAAAUCCCACUGAUGAACACACAGACCACAGACACACAGUAAACGGAUAGUCCACUCAUGUAUAGACACACAUAGGUAUCAAGACAUCUACACUGUCAAUAAUAAAUUAAUUUGAUUAAUUCAUUAGACAAAUAGCAUUCCUUUGCUGCUUCUUUAUGUAACCUAUUUUUGACUUCAUAAAGUUAAAUUUUUGUUUAUUUCUCAGUUAUUGGAAUUUUUUGUGUAGAUGCGCUUCACUAAUUUUUCUGUUGGUAUUUCAAUGAUUUUCUUAGAGAUUUAUAACAUGCAUGUUUAUUACUCACUUUUUCACUUUGUUGUUAAUUUGCAGAAGUUUUAAAUUUAAUGCAGGCAAACCUACUGACAUUUUUCUCUAUUUUCGUCAGAUAGAUUUUUAGAAUUUUGAUAUGUUUUUAUUAUAUAGAACUUAUGUAGGCAAAUGGAAAUUGGUUAAAACUUAAAUGGAUUUUGUUUCCAGUAUACUAUGUAGGUAAUUUUCCUAACACCAUUUACUGAAUAACCUGUUCCUUUCCCAAUUUUCGUGCUGGAUUGGGACUAGAUAAUUUGAGAAGGCUUGGCUCAGUGUUAACUCUUGCAGUAUUUGUGUGGAAGUCACCUAUCUUCCCUGUCAAUUUCCUCCCUCCAUUCCUUCUCAUUCACCCUAGGUUCUGUCCUGGAUCUUGUAAGCUAGGGUAUCUUCACAGUCCAAAGAGAUGCUGUGUGUGUCUGUAUUCUGUCUUUCCUCUUAGGUUCUCUUAAUGUUUGAUAUACGCUUUAUCUUAGCUAAACUAUCUCAUAGCAGAAAAAUUAACUUAGAAAAAUAUAACAUAUAUUAUCUUUGUGCGCCAGUGCACAGUAUGUUCACAAAACAUAUACUACCCUUUUAUUAUUAUUUUCUCUUCCUGAAGAACAGGAUUGAAAAAUAGCUAUAGAAACUAUUCUGUUAUAGCAAAUGCUCAGCAGACCUAGUAAAGGACCAAAGCAGGUAAAAAGGUAAUUUGCUUUUCCUGCUUUUACUUUCAAUAUGGCUUAAAUCAAUCAAUUUAAAAUCAAAAUAUCUCUGUAAUAAGUAUAUAGACAUUAUAAAUAGGCACAAUUUAUGCAGCCAUCUUCAGGAAAUAUGCUCUGGUGAUAUACAGGUAUGCAAAUUGAAUUACACUUAGUAUGACAAGAUUAAAAGAGAAGCUGUUAAAUGGAUAUGCAUGAAGUAGGACCUGCCUGUAAUUUUCUCUUUCCUUUUCCUUCAUUCCUACCCUGUCCCUUUCUCUCACUGUUUUUUUCUUUUUUGUUUUUACUGAGCCUUAGAAAUAGGAAAUUGAAUUAAUCAUAAUUCUCAAUUCAUGAUACACCGUCAUUAUUAGUCUAUGCAAGUCACUCUAUUGCUUUAUUUUUUGCUUUUAUUUCCACUCUUCACUGCUAUUACCUUCUUUAUAUAGUCACCUACUCCACUUAAAUUACUAUGUAUCCUUGAAAAACGUGCAUUGUUGUUUUAUGAAUGUCUCUGUUUUAAAUUUAUAAACAUGGCAUUCUGCUACAGAUGUGCUUAUUGUUAUUUUUAACUCAACAUUGUGGCUAUAGACUCAGCUGUAUGUAGAUCAUUGCUCUUGACCACUGCACAGCCCAGAGGCUAAUCUACCACACUUUUUUUUUUCUCUUCUACUGGAGACGAACACCUAGGUUUCUCAUAAUUCCCUGGUGCCAAGACAAAGCUGCAAAGAACCUCCAGAUCAACCUUUGGAAGAGGCUCCCAGGGGAGAGUUGCCGGGUCAUAGGGCUGCACAUUCUUGAUGUCACUAAGUGCUGCCAGAUUGUUCUCCAGAUUUGUGGGCUUAUAUUUCUUAAGUAUUUUGGCAGAAUUCACAUUAAGUUGAAAUUUUGAUUUUGUGCCAACAUUCAGGGGCAUGUUAGAGUAACUUUAUAACUGUGUGAAAAAUUAAAGAAAAAUAUCUAAUGUUUAAAGUGCUUUUAUAUGCAAUUCUUUUUAGAUUAUUUAACUGAAAAACAGCAUUUCUGAGCAAUAGUGCAUACAGUAUGUAGUUUUAUUCAUAUCUAUUAAUGUGGGUCAGAUUUUAGGAAAAUACUUUAAGUAAAAUUCUACUCUCUAUAUCAUUGGAAUAAAGGUUUAUAUAUUGUAUAGCAUGAUUAAUAGAAUAAUCAGACAUUUUAUUAUGUAUAUUUUACAUUUACAAAUGCUGUACCAUGAAUUAUGUUUGCCCUAGAGAAGACCUGCCAUUUACUAAACACUUCCUAUGUGUCCAAGAAAUAAGCACUAUUUUAUUAUUCUUCACAUAAUAUAUGUGUAGUAGUCAUUAUUUUACUCAUUCUACAGGUAAAGAAAUUAGCAUUCAGAAAGGUUAAGUCAUUUCCCACAAAAAUUGUACAGCCUGUACAUAUAGAAACUAGAAUUCAAUUCAAGGACUACAUUAACUACAAAGCCUGGGUCUUUCGUCAUUAACUUCAAAACAAAAUGGUGUAUGGCUAUAAGAAAGACAGCAUGCCUUAGUGGUUAACAGCAAAGUCUUAUAAGCCAGAUGUCCAAGUAUAAAUUCCAGUUCUGCCACUAAGAACUCUGAAACCUUAGCAUGUCACUCAAACUCUGUAUCUUACCUUCCUCAUCUAUAAGACAAAGAUAGUGACAGUAAUAAUAUAAUAAUAACUCCUUUCUCAGGUUGUUUUGUCUCCUAAAUGACUAAAACAUAUUUAAAGCUUAGGACUGUUUGUGGGAUAUUUCCAGCCAGUUAAUGUUUCCUAUUAUUUUUCCAAAGAGGACUAUUCUUUUGUUCAGAUAUUCACUCCUCUUCCUCAAAGCCCUGUUCACCCAAGGGAAGCUGGACUCAUCCCCAACUCCAGGUGUGGUCCUGGUUAGUCUGAGUCAAUCAGCAUAAUUCUAUGCUCCUUAGUGGAAGAACUACCUCCCUGACUGUUUGACAUGCAUGAGGAAACACAGAACCCUGACAAUGACUGGCACCCAUCCUUUAGCUAUGAAGAAAACCAGCCUUAGAAGCCAGCCAGGAUCAUAGAAGUUAAGAACCUGAGUCAUUGAAGACAUUAUUCCACCUGCAAACACAAAGCCUGCUCUACCUCUAGACUCCAAACUAUUGGUAAUGCCAAUAGGAGUUCAAUUUUUGGUGCCGUAGGUGAAAAGUUGUGUUCAUAGAAACUGACCAUGAAUAAAUGUUAUUUUUCCUAGCUGUUAGAAUUUAGAGAUUAGGAGAAUGAACUACUUCAACUUGAGGGGGAAUUCAGGUGUCAGAGGAAAUCCUGCUGAAUGUCGAAAUGAUAAAGACUAAAGAUUUUCUAGGAAAGUUUGAACAUAUGACAAAUAUUCUUGGAAACAGAAGAGGGAUUACAUAAAAGGGCAUUGUAAAAGAAGCAAAACAUUGGAUUAAAAAGAUAAACAACUAUGUCAAAUAUUUUUAAAAAGAAAAGAAAGACACACAGUCAGAAAGAGUGGGGAUGACAACCAAUCCAAAGGGCAUAAAAUGUGGUGGAGGAUUAUGAAUCGGAUAGGAGAAAGGAACAUGGAGCUAGAAAGUGGGCGAGGAGUACAUGAGUGGAAUUGAUCAGCCUCUUUAUUCCAGUCAGAAAUUUGGUGUGCAGUUGUGGGAUAACUUUGUAAAUGAAUACUUUAAGCAUAAUCUUAACUGUGAAUCAAAAUUGCACAUAAAUUUAUAUUUAUUAAACAUUAAACAAACAUUCACUGAUGAUUAUAUUGUGCAUACAAACAUGCAUAGAAAUUGGCUCUCCAUAAAAAUAUAUAAUUUUAGCAUUGGUAAUACCAAAUAAAGAUAAUGCUAUCACAAAACUGGUGAACAAGAUUUCCAGCAUAUAUGAAAUAUUGUUUUGGGGGCUUCAAAAAUCCAGAUGGAAGAGUGGUUUCCCUAGCUCUUCUUCAAAAUUCCAUUGAAUGACACACUCUUCUCUCUAGGCUUGUAACGAGGAAUGCAUAUCUACUUAAUAGAUGUGGUAAGACACAAACAAAAUAAAGACUCAUUCUUUUCUUUUCGAGACAACACAAGUUGUGAUUUGAACCAAGACAACCUGGCUUCAGAGUUUAUAGUGAUUCUCAUUCUAGUGAUAAGUAUCAAAAUUGUUAUAAAGGUAAUAAAAACAUUAUUGUUCUAAGUUUCACUUAUUGAAAUUUAUUCCAGCUCUUUGUCUGACAUGAAAACAAAAAUAUAAAAUAAUUCUAAUUGCAAUAUUGUUUAUAAUGUGCAAACACUAAAAUCAAACUAAAUCCAUUAAUAAUCGAUUCAGUUUUAUAAAGAUGAUGCAUCUAUACAAUGAAUAACUAGAAAAUAAUUUAAAUAUAUAUUGUUGUUGAUUUCAUAACCUGGAAAAGCAUUGAAUUUAUAUGGUGAGGUGAAGAAAGACAAACUACAAAACUGGGUAGAUUGGACUCCAUUUGUUGAAAAAUUCUACAGUAGGGCUGUAUAUAUUGAAGAAUAUUUCUAGAAAAUUAUACAACAAAUAUUAAUGGUUGUUAUCUCUCAAUGGUGGAUUAUUUUCCACAAUGAGCACGUCAAUUUUAUAAUCAGAGAAAAUAUAAUAAAGCAGUUACACUUCAAAAAAAUGAGAGAGAGAAAGAAAGGAAGAAGAGAAAACUAACCAAGUUGGAGAAUAAAUAAUGACUACCAAAUCCACCUUGUAUUGCUGAGAAUUUCUUCAUAGAUAAGGGGUACAUUUUGUAGCAGUUAUUAUUUUAGUAGAUUUACAUCUAAAUUUUAUUUAUUGCAAUGACAACAUUCUUAGUGCAAGUUAUUUCUGAAAAAAAAUUUUUUUUUUUUUUUUGAGACAGGGUCUUCCUCUGUUGCCCAGGCUGGAGUGCAGUGGCACGAUCAUGGCUCACUGCAACCUCUGCCUCCUGGGCUCAGGUGAUACUCCUGCCUCAUUCUCCCAAGUUGCUGGUUGCUGGGACUAUGGGUUUGCACUACCACACCAGGCUAUUAUUUAUUUAUUUGUAGAAAUGGGGUUUCACCAUGGUGCCCAGGCUGGUUUAAACUCCUGGGCUCAAGCAAUCCGCCCGCCUCGGCCUCCCAAAGUACUGAGAUUACAGGUGUAAGCCACCAUGGCCAGCCUACUGAAAAUACUAAAUUCUUAUCAUUUGAAUAAUGCAAUACUUUUAACUAUCUUUUAAAUGUAAAACUUAACAGUCAAUACUACUUAUCAACUGUUAAAAAGAAAGCUUCUUGAUUUUUUAUUGUGUCAUGACUAAUGGAUCAUUUUCUAGUUUGACUCUUCUUCCAUCUCCUGUGAGUUUGGAUUGACUUUAAAGAAGUUAUAAUGCUUCAAACUGAUUGGAGGUAAGAACUAGGGAACAGAGUAAUUAGAUUUACAACUCCUGGUAACUGUGAUUUUUAAUUACAUAACAGUUAUUGAAAACAUGAAAAUCUAUAUUAGACAUUUUCUUAAUUAUGGCAAACAGCAUACAUUUGAAUGAAGUACUUUCUCUUUAACAUAAAAUUAUACAGAGAAAUUACAUUAAACUAAAACAGAGAAACAUAUUUUUAAACAGUCAUUACAAAUAGCAAAAUACGAGAAUUUUUUCUAGAAAUUCUCUAAGCCUUCCCAUUUACACAAGUUUAACUAUAUUUUGAGAGACUCUAGUGCACUCAAUACUCUAAGUGCUACCUUGCUUUUGGGUUGAGAGUGGGAGGACAUAUGGCUCUUCACAGGAAGUGAUGGGUAUUUGCUUUACAUUAAUAAAUAAUAGGAUACUCUGAGUUCUACUGUAACAUAUAAUCAUUUUAUACUAAUUGUAAAUGGUAAUUGAAGCAUUCAAAACAUAGUAUAGACAUUUUAUUUAUUCUUUCUUUUUUUUGUUACCAUCUUUUUUUUUAUUAUACUUUAAGUUUCAGGGUAUAUGUGCACAAAGUGCAGGUUUGUUACAUAUGUAUACAUGUGCCAUGUUGGUGUGCUGCACCCAUUAACUCUUCAUUAAAUGUUAGGUAUAUCUCCUAAUGUUAUCCCUCCCCACUCCCCCACCCCACA
rnacentral:lncRNA from 10 species